UACGUAGGGUGCGAGCGUUAAUCGGAAUUACUGGGCGUAAAGCGCGCGCAGGCGGCCGUUUAAGUCUGGUGUUUAAGCCCGGGGCUCAACCCCGGUUCGCACUGGAAACUGGGCGGCUUGAGUGCAGGAGAGGAAAGCGGAAUUCCACGUGUAGCGGUGAAAUGCGUAGAUAUGUGGAGGAACACCAGUGGCGAAGGCGGCUUUCUGGCCUGUAACUGACGCUGAGGCGCGAAAGCGUGGGGAGCAAACAGG
rnacentral:rRNA from 1 species